CUUUGAAAAAAUUAAGAAGUGUUUAAAGCAGGCGCACGCUUGAAUACAUUAGCAUGGAUAAUGAAUAGGACGUUUGAUUCUAUUUUGUUGGUUUCUAGGAUCGACGUAAUGAUUAAUAGGGAUAGUUGGGGGCAUUAGUAUUCAAUUGUCAGAGGUGAAAUUCUUGGAUUUAUUGAAGACUAACUACCGCGAAAAGCAUUUUGCCAAGGAUGUUUUCAUUAAUCAAGAACGAAAGUUAGGGGAUCGAAGACGAUCAGAUACCGUCGUAGUCUUAACCAUAAACUAUGCCGACUAGGGAUCGGAUGAUGUUAAUUUUUUAAUGACUCAUUCGGCGCCUUACG
rnacentral:rRNA from 1 species